rnacentral:rRNA from 1 species
UACGAAGGGUGCAAGCGUUACUCGGAAUUACUGGGCGUAAAGCGUGCGUAGGCGGUUCGUUAAGUCUGUCGUGAAAGCCCUGGGCUCAACCUGGGAAUUGCGAUGGAUACUGGCGGGCUAGAGUACGGUAGAGGAUGGUGGAAUUCCCGGUGUAGCGGUGAAAUGCGUAGAGAUCGGGAGGAACACCCGUGGCGAAGGCGGCCAUCUGGACCAGUACUGACGCUGAGGCACGAAAGCGUGGGGAGCAAACAGGAUUAGAUACCCUGGUAGUCCACGCCCUAAACGAUGCGAACUGGAUGUUGGGCACACUUAGGUGCUCAGUGUCGAAGCUAACGCGUUAAGUUCGCCGCCUGGGGAGUACGGUCGCAAGACUGAA